rnacentral:snRNA from 9 species
AUACUUACCUGGCGUAGGGAUACCUUGAUCAUGCAGGCGGUUCCCCAGGGCGAAGCUGCUCCAUUGCACUGCGGAGUGGUUGACCCUUGCGAUUAAUUAAUUUUUAUACGUUUCACUUCUACCUUGUGUGACUUACACACG